AGAGUUUGAUCCUGGCUCAGGAUGAACGCUAGCGGGAGGCCUAACACAUGCAAGCCGAGCGGUAGAGUUUCUUCGGAAACUUGAGAGCGGCGCACGGGUGCGUAACACGUGUGCAACCUACCUUUAUCUGGGGGAUAGCCUUUCGAAAGGAAGAUUAAUACCCCAUAAUAUAAUGAUUGGCAUCAAUUAUUAUUGAAAACUCCGGUGGAUAGAGAUGGGCACGCGCAAGAUUAGAUAGUUGGUGAGGUAACGGCUCACCAAGUCAAUGAUCUUUAGGGGUCCUGAGAGGGAGAUCCCCCACACUGGUACUGAGACACGGACCAGACUCCUACGGGAGGCAGCAGUGAGGAAUAUUGGACAAUGGGUGAGAGCCUGAUCCAGCCAUCCCGCGUGAAGGAUGACGGUCCUAUGGAUUGUAAACUUCUUUUGUACAGGGAUAAACCUACUCUCGUGAGGGUAGCUGAAGGUACUGUACGAAUAAGCACCGGCUAACUCCGUGCCAGCAGCCGCGGUAAUACGGAGGGUGCAAGCGUUAUCCGGAUUUAUUGGGUUUAAAGGGUCCGUAGGCGGACUUGUAAGUCAGUGGUGAAAUCUCAUAGCUUAACUAUGAAACUGCCAUUGAUACUGCAGGUCUUGAGUAAAUUUGAAGUGGCUGGAAUAAGUAGUGUAGCGGUGAAAUGCAUAGAUAUUACUUAGAACACCAAUUGCGAAGGCAGGUCACUAAGAUUUAACUGACGCUGAUGGACGAAAGCGUGGGGAGCGAACAGGAUUAGAUACCCUGGUAGUCC
rnacentral:rRNA from 1 species